UGAAAAGCAUUGAGAAGGAAUAGUAGUGAGCGAUACGAGCAAAGAGAGUUGACGGUUGGUGGGAGUCAACAAACGACCGUUCAUGAACUCACCUUUGAGCUGUAAAUGUGAACGAAGUAGCAUUUAUCGUCAUCCGCGUUAAGGAAAAUGAGUGAGUACAUACAUAAUUUGUGCUAAUGUGGGUGGUACCGCGGGAAGUUUAUUCAACCUCUCGUCCCUUUC
rnacentral:ncRNA from 1 species